GAGUUUGAUCCUGGCUCAGAUUGAACGCUGGCGGCAUGCCUUACACAUGCAAGUCGAACGGCAGCACGGGAGCUUGCUCCUGGUGGCGAGUGGCGAACGGGUGAGUAAUGCAUCGGAACGUAUCCUGGAGUGGGGGAUAACGUAGCGAAAGUUACGCUAAUACCGCAUAUUCUGUGAGCAGGAAAGCGGGGGAUCUUCGGGCCUCGCGCUCUUGGAGCGGCCGAUGUCGGAUUAGCUAGUUGGUGAGGUAAAGGCUCACCAAGGCGACGAUCCGUAGCAGGUCUGAGAGGAUGAUCUGCCACACUGGAACUGAGACACGGUCCAGACUCCUACGGGAGGCAGCAGUGGGGAAUUUUGGACAAUGGGGGCAACCCUGAUCCAGCCAUGCCGCGUGAGUG
rnacentral:rRNA from 1 species